GGAGAGCGCUUGCCUCGCAUGCAAGAGGUCGGGGGUUCAAAUCCCCCCAUCUCCACCA
rnacentral:tRNA from 1 species